rnacentral:rRNA from 1 species
UACGGGGGGGGCUAGCGUUGUUCGGAAUUACUGGGCGUAAAGGGCGCGUAGGCGGUCUGCUAAGUUGGAUGUGAAAACUCUGGGCUUAACCCAGAGCCUGCAUUCAAUACUGACAGGCUGGAGUUCUGGAGGGGAUAGCGGAAUUCCUGGUGUAGCGGUGAAAUGCGUAGAUAUCAGGAGGAACACCGGUGGCGAAGGCGGCUAUCUGGACAGAGUCUGACGCUGAGGCGCGAAAGCUAGGGGAGCAAACAGG